rnacentral:rRNA from 1 species
AUUGAACGCUGGCGGCAUGCCUAACACAUGCAAGUCGAACGAGUGGCGGACGGGUGAGUAAUGUCUGGGAAACUCCCUGCUGGAGGGGGAUAACUACUGGAAACGGUAGCUAAUACCGCAUACCAUCAGAUUGGCCCAGAUGGCAUUAGUUAGUUGGUGGGGUAACGGCUCACCAAGGCGACGAGCCCUAGCUGGUCUGAGAGGAUGACCAGCCACACUGGAACUGAGACACGGUCUAGACUCCUACGGGAGGCAGGAGUGGGGAAUAUUGCACAAUGGGCGAAAGCCUGAUGCAGCCAUGCCGCGUGUAUGGAGAGGGCCUUCGGGUUGUAAAGUACUUUCAGCGGGGAGGCGUUACCCGCAGAAGAAGCACCGGCUAACUCCGUGCCAGCAGCCGCGGUAAUAC